rnacentral:rRNA from 1 species
AGUGAACGCUGGCGGUAGGCCUAACACAUGCAAGUCGAACGGUAGCACAGUAAGAGCUUGCUCUUACGGGUGGCGAGUGGCGGACGGGUGAGGAAUACAUCGGAAUCUACUUUUUCGUGGGGGAUAACGUAGGGAAACUUACGCUAAUACCGCAUACGACCUACGGGUGAAAGCAGGGGAUCUUCGGACCUUGCGCGAUUGAAUGAGCCGAGGUCGGAUUAGCUAGUUGGCGGGGUAAAGGCCCACCAAGGCGACGAUCCGUAGCUGGUCUGAGAGGAUGAUCAGCCACACUGGAACUGAGACACGGUCCAGACUCCUACGGGAGGCAGCAGUGGGGAAUAUUGGACAAUGGGCGCAAGCCUGAUCCAGCCAUACCGCGUGGGUGAAGAAGGCCUUCGGGUUGUAAAGCCCUUUUGUUGGGAAAGAAAAGCAGCAGGUUAAUACCCCGCUGUUCUGACGGUACCCAAAGAAUAAGCACCGGCUAACUUCGUG